rnacentral:rRNA from 1 species
GUUGUAUGGUUAAGUGACGAAGCGUAUACGGUGGAUGCCUUGGCAGUUAGAGGCGAUGAAGGACGUGUAAGUCUGCGAAAAGCUGUGGUGAGCCGACAAAAUGCAUUUGAGCCACAGAUGUCCGAAUGGGGAAACCCACCUGUUUACAGGUAUCGUUACGUGAAUACAUAGCGUAACGAGGCGAACGAGGGGAACUGAAACAUCUAAGUACCCUUAGGAAAAGAAAUCAAACGAGAUUCCCCUAGUAGCGGCGAGCGAACGGGGAACAGCCCUUAAGCUGUUUAGUGUGUAGUGGAAUCCUUUGGGAAGAGGAGCGAUACAGGGUGAUAGCCCCGUACACAAAGCGUGCUUUACAGUGAAAUCGAGUAGGUCGGGACACGUGUUAUCUUGACUGAAUAUGGGGGGACCAUCCUCCAAGGCUAAAUACUCCUAACUGACCGAUAGUGAACCAGUACCGUGAGGGAAAGGCGAAAAGAACCCCUGUGAGGGGAGUGAAAUAGAACCUGAAACCGUAUACGUACAAGCAGUGGGAGCCCUUCGGGGUGACUGCGUACCUUUUGUAUAAUGGGUCAGCGACUUAUAUUUAGUAGCAAGGUUAAGCGAAUAGCGGAGCCGUAGCGAAAGCGAGUGUUAACUGCGCGUUUAGUUGCUAGGUAUAGACCCGAAACCCGGUGAUCUAGCCAUGAGCAGGUUGAAGGUUGAGUAACAUCAACUGGAGGACCGAACCCACUGACGUUGAAAAGUCAGGGGAUGACUUGUGGCUGGGGGUGAAAGGCCAAUCAAACCGGGAGAUAGCUGGUUCUCCCCGAAAUCUAUUUAGGUAGAGCCUCGGACGAAUUCCAUUGGGGGUAGAGCACUGUUAAGGCUAGGGGGUCAUCCCGACUUACCAACCCUUUGCAAACUCCGAAUACCAAUGAGAACUAUCCGGGAGACACACGGCGGGUGCUAACGUCCGUCGUGGAGAGGGAAACAACCCAGACCGCCAGCUAAGGUCCCAAAAUAUUGCUAAGUGGGAAACGAUGUGGGAAGGCACAGACAGCUAGGAGGUUGGCUUAGAAGCAGCCACCCUUUAAAGAAAGCGUAAUAGCUCACUAGUCGAGUCGGCCUGCGCGGAAGAUGUAACGGGGCUAAGCAAUAUACCGAAGCUGCGGCAGCAUGUUUACAUGCUGGGUAGGGGAGCGUUGUGUAAGUGGAUGAAGGUGAGUUGUAAAGCUUGCUGGACAUAUCACAAGUGCGAAUGCUGACAUGAGUAACGAUAAUGGGAGUGAAAAACUCCCACGCCGGAAGACCAAGGUUUCCUGUCCCAUGCUAAUCAGGGCAGGGUAAGUCGGCCCCUAAGGCGAGGCAGAAAUGCGUAGUCGAUGGGAAACGGAUUAAUAUUUCCGUACUUAUAUAAUCAGUGAUGGAGGGACGGAGAAGGCUAGGCAAGCUUGGCGUUGGUUGUCCAAGUGAAAGUGAGUAGGCUGGAAUUUUAGGUAAAUCCGGAAUUCUAAGGCCGAGACACGAGACGAGCUCCCAAGGGAGUGAAGUUGUUGAUGCCCUGCUUCCAGGAAAAGCUUCUAAACUUAUGAUUAUAUGAACCGUACCCCAAACCGACACAGGUGGUCAGGUAGAGAAUACUAAGGCGCUUGAGAGAACUCGGGUGAAGGAACUCGGCAAAAUUGUACCGUAACUUCGGGAGAAGGUACGCCUCUGUUUGUGAACACUUUACGUGGUAAGCAAAUGGAGGCCGCAGUGACCAGGUGGCUGGGACUGUUUAUUAAAAACACAGCACUCUGCAAACUCGUAAGAGGACGUAUAGGGUGUGACACCUGCCCGGUGCCGGAAGGUUAAUUGAUGGGGUUAGUUUUCGGACGAAGCUCUUGAUCGAAGCCCCGGUAAACGGCGGCCGUAACUAUAACGGUCCUAAGGUAGCGAAAUUCCUUGUCGGGUAAGUUCCGACCUGCACGAAUGGUGUAACCAUGGCCACGCUGUCUCCACCCGAGACUCAGUGAAAUUGAAAUCGCAGUGAAGAUGCUGUGUACCCGCACCUAGACGGAAAGACCCCGUGAACCUUUACUACAGCUUGGCACUGAACAUUGAACCUACAUGUGUAGGAUAGGUGGGAGGCUUUGAAGCACAGUCGCUAGAUUGUGUGGAGCCGUCCUUGAAAUACCACCCUUGUAUGUUUGAUGUUCUAACAUUGGUCCCUUAUCGGGAUUGUGGACAGUGUCUGGUGGGUAGUUUGACUGGGGCGGUCUCCUCCCAAAUAGUAACGGAGGAGCACGAAGGUUAGCUAAUCACGGUCGGACAUCGUGAGGUUAGUGCAAUGGCAUAAGCUAGCUUAACUGCGAGACAGACACGUCGAGCAGGUACGAAAGUAGGUCAUAGUGAUCCGGUGGUUCUGUAUGGAAGGGCCAUCGCUCAACGGAUAAAAGGUACUCCGGGGAUAACAGGCUGAUACCGCCCAAGAGUUCAUAUCGACGGCGGUGUUUGGCACCUCGAUGUCGGCUCAUCACAUCCUGGGGCUGAAGUCGGUCCCAAGGGUAUGGCUGUUCGCCAUUUAAAGUGGUACGCGAGCUGGGUUUAGAACGUCGUGAGACAGUUCGGUCCCUAUCUGGUGUGGGCGUUGGAUGAUUGAUGGGAGCUGCUCCUAGUACGAGAGGACCGGAGUGGACGAACCGCUGGUGUUCGGGUUGUCAUGCCAAUGGCAUUGCCCGGUAGCUAUGUUCGGAACGGAUAACCGCUGAAAGCAUCUAAGCGGGAAGCCGGCCCAAAGAUGAGUCAUCCCUGACCUUUAAGGUCUGGAAGGGUUGUUAUAGACGAUGACGUUGAUAGGCAGGGUGUGGAAGCGUUGUAAGGCGUUAAGCUAACCUGUACUAAUUGCCCGAGAGGCUUAACCAUACAACGCCUAA